CACAAGAAUGAUACCUGGAAUGAAAGGCUUAUCAGAUGAGAAGAGUUUGAUGGCUCUGGACCUGUACUCGCUCGAGUUUAGGAGAAUGAGGGGGGAUCUCAUUGAGGCCUCGAGUGAGUGGAUUGGAGAGGCUGUUUCCCGUAGUAGAAAGGUGAUUUUGCUGAGAUCCUGCUGGGCGUGUGACACGAUUGGGAAUGAAAGUGGAGGCCCUAAGUCACAGCAUCCUUUCCAGAGGCAAAAUGUGGAAAGAGAGGAUGUGUCAGAUUUAUGCAAUUGGAUCAUCCCUGUUCCCCGGUUAGCAGUCAAUUAAUCCCAUCCAUAGCUUCACAAAAAUGAUUCCGGGAUUGAAAGGCUUGUCAUAUGAGACAUCCAUGAGAACCAGAAGAACUCCGAAAGAAUGAAUGACAGAAAAUCAUUAGAGCCCCAAAGGCCCCUCUUCCCGGCACAGUCAGCAGUGAGCGUCAAUGCAAAAUCCUGCACCCCCGCUCCCGUUUCAGCAAAAAGUCUCAGCACCCACCAACCAACAAGCAACAGCAAAGCACCCAAACAGAGUCCAUGACCUGCACUCAACGUAAAACUAUUGUUCACCCGACAGUUCGACAAGCACAGGCUCUCUCUCCUUUAUUAACAAGGGGCAGAGAGGUGUCACAACAUUUCACUGUGAAAGGGGAGACUGACAGUCACUGUUAUGGUGUUAUGGCAUCAGCAGCAGCGCAAUCUGAACGCUCCAUCUCUGGCGACGCCUCAGUCGACAACACUGGCCUGAAAUUGGUCAUCAACUGGGCUGCGCAGGCUCACACCCCGGAGGCGUCAUCUUCCAAACUGUGCCUGGAAGAUGUUGGGAAAUGUUCAGCCGACGUGCUUCAGGAAUGGGAACUCAUCCGCUGUAAAAUAAAAAAAAAGCAGUUUGAGUGCCGCUUGCAGAUCAGGACCUCAAUAGGACCCCACCCACCCUGAAACGGAAACAAAAGAGCCAUUAAAGGGAGGAAUUAAGCUGUUUUCCUCAGAUGAGUGUAAA